UAACUAGAUAGCAACUUUCAGCAGUGGAUGUCUAGGCUCGCACAUCGAUGAAGAACGCUGCGAACUGCGAUACGUAAUGCGAAUUGCAGGAUUCAGUGAGUCAUCGAAAUUUUGAACGCAUAUUGCACUUCCGGGUUAGUCCUGGAAGUAUGCCUGUAUCAGUGUCCGUACAACAAACUUGGCUUUCUUCCUUCCGUGUAGUCGGUGGAGGAGAUGCCAGAUGUGAAGUGUCUUGCGGUUGGUUUUCGGACCGACUGCGAGUCCUUUUAAAUGUACUAAACUGUACUUCUCUUUGCUCCAAAAGUGGUGGCAUUGCUGGUUGUGGACGCUGCUAUUGUAGCGAGUUGGCGACCGGUUUGUCUGCUGCGGCGUUAAUGGAGAAAUGCUCGAUUCGUGGUAUGGUUGGCUUCGGCUGAACAAUGCGCUUAUUGGGUGAUUUUCCUGCUGUGGCGUGAUGGACUGGUGAACCAUGGCUCUUUAGCUUGGCAUUUGAAUCGGCUUUGCUGUUGCGAAGUAGAGUGGCGGCUUCGGCUGCCGAGGGUCGAUCCAUUUGGGAAAUGUUGUGUACUUCGGUAUGCAUCUCAAUUGGACCUGAUAUCAGGCAAGAUUACCCGCUGAACUUAAGCAUAUUUAAUAAGCGGAGGAAAAGAAACUAACAAGGAUUCCCCUAGUAACGGCGAGUGAAGCGGGAAGAGCUCAAGCUUAAAAUCUCCGUGCAAGUUUUGCGCGGCGAAUUUGUAGUCUAUAGAGGCGUGAUCAGUGUGGGCGCUUGGGGCAAGUUUCUUUGGAAGAGGACAGCAUGGAGGGUGAUACUCCCGUUCAUCCCUGAGUUGCUCGUGCGUACGAUCCGUUUUCUUUGAGUCGCGUUGUUUGGGAAUGCAGCGCCAAAGUAGGUGGUAAAUUCCAUCUAAAGCUAAAAUAUUGGUGCGAGACCGAUAGCGAACAAGUACCGUGAGGGAAAGAUGAAAAGAACUUUGAAAAGAGAGUUAAAGAGUACCUGAAAACUGCUGAAAGGGAACCGAAUCGUUUUCCAGUGUCUAUAAUCCGGUGGUAUAUUUCAUUGGGCGAGUGUGUGCGUGCGUUGUGCUGUGGGCAGCGGCUUUUUUUGGCUGCGCUCGGCGUGUGUGCUGUGUGUGCUUUGCUGGUGCCCCUGUGCUGCUGGUGGGACGUCAAGGUCAGUUCGUAUGCUGCGGGAAAUGGCCGCCGAGGAGGUAGGGCUUACGCUUGCGUUUGUCUGUUAUAUCUUGGUGGACGAGUAGUCGCGGUUGGGACUGAGGUGCCUACAACGUGUUUUUGAGUGGGCCUGUGUCUCUGUGUGCGCCGUGUGCGGAUAGCUUGCUAUGGCGUGUGUGGUUGUGUGUGGAUUGAUGUGGGUUUUUAACUUGUUGCCGUUCGGGACGUUGACGAAAUGGAGCGAUUUGACCCGUCUUGAAACACGGACCAAGGAGUCUAACAUGUGUGCAAGUGUUAGGGUGUGGAAACCCCAGCGCGAAAUGAAAGUGAAGGGCAGCGUAAGUUGUCUGAGGUAGGAAAUGCUGCGGGCUUCGGUCUGCGGUGUGGCACUAUCGACCCGAUCAUGAACCUUCGUGGUGAAAGAUUUGAGUUUGAGCACAUAUGUUGGUUACCCGAAAGAUGGUGAACUAUGCCUGAGUAGGGUGAAGCCAGGGGAAACUCUGGUGGAAGCUCGUAGCGAUUCUGACGUGCAAAUCGAUCGUCAAACUUGGGUAUAGGGGCGAAAGACUAAUCGAACCAUCUAGUAGCUGGAUUCCCUCCGAAAUUUCCCUCAGGAUAGCAGCAACUUAUUUACGAUAGUUUUAUGAGGUAAAGCGAAUGAUUAGAGGAUUCGGGGAAGAAACUUCCUCGACCUAUUCUCAAACUUUAAAUCUGUAAGACCUGCAGGUUUCUUAAUUGAACUUGUGGAUGUGAAUAUCAAGUUGCUAGUGGGCCAUACGGGGUAAGCUCGUCUGGCGAUGCGGGAUGAACCGAACGCAAAGUUAAAGUGCCAAAAUGCUCGCUCACCUAGAUACCAUAAAAGGUGUUGGUUCAUUUAGACAGCAGGACGGUGGCCAUGGAAGUCGGAAUCCGCUAAGGAGUGUGUAACAACUCACCUGCCGAAUGAACUAGCCCUGAAAAUGGAUGGCGCUAAAGCGGGCNNNNNNNNNNNNNNNNNNNNNNNNNNNNNNNNNNNNNNNNNNNNNNNNNNNNNNNNNNNNNNNNNNNNNNNNNNNNNNNNNNNNNNNNNNNNNNNNNNNNCCACAGCUCGGUCCUAUGCAUUCGUCGAUAUUUUACUACUGAAGGGACGCCGUAUGCGCCCUUGUUUGUGUAUGGACCGCACCUGAGACGCAAGCAUGCGCCAGUAGCCAAAUGGACUCUGGUUUGAGUAACUAUCGCGCCUCGACAUGGCGUAACUAGAAGUACACCCGAUCCGUAGCUGAG
rfam:Phytophthora infestans T30-4 supercont1.52 genomic scaffold, whole genome shotgun sequence.